rnacentral:rRNA from 1 species
CCUACGGGUGGCAGCAGUGAGGAAUAUUGGUCAAUGGGCGUAAGCCUGAACCAGCCAAGUCGCGUGAGGGAUGAAGGUUCUAUGGAUCGUAAACCUCUUUUGUCGGAGAACAAAACCCGGGACGUGUCCCGGACUGCGUGUAUCCGAAGAAAAAGCAUCGGCUAACUCCGUGCCAGCAGCCGCGGUAAUACGGAGGAUGCGAGCGUUAUCCGGAUUUAUUGGGUUUAAAGGGUGCGUAGGCGGUCCGUUAAGUCAGCGGUAAAAUUGCGGGGCUCAACCCCGUCGAGCCGUUGAAACUGGCAGACUUGAGUUGGCGAGAGGUACGCGGAAUGCGCGGUGUAGCGGUGAAAUGCAUAGAUAUCGCGCAGAACUCCGAUUGCGAAGGCAGCGUACCGGCGCCAGACUGACGCUGAGGCACGAAAGCGUGGGGAUCGAACAGGAUUAGAUACCCCAGUAGUC